GGAAAUCCUACCGGUCUCCACUCUGGAAAGCUUCACCCUGAAAAGUCCCACCUCCUGCUCCAAGAAACUCCAGACCAGACAGAGUCUAAGCCACCUUGAAUAUCUAGUCUAAAGAAGAUAACCCGGAUAUAUAACACAGACCAGAGCCUAGCUUACUUGUCAUCACAGAGGCUUCAUCUAGCAACUGAUGGGAGCAGAUGCAGAGACCCACAGCCAAAUUUUAGGCAGAGCUCAGAGAAUCCUGCAGCAGAAGAUGAGGACAAGUCUCCCCCACCUCCUCUUCUUUCAGUUCCUCCGUCAAAUCCCUUCUCCCCAAGAACCUUUGUUCCUCCACUUCUCUUCAGAAAGGUACUAUCAGGGAUAUCAACCAAACAUGGCAUAAAAAGCGUAUCCAGGCUGGACCAGGCAAACUGAUAAGAGGAAAAGGGUCCCGAGAGCAGGCAAAAGAGUCCAAAACAGUCCCACUCCCAUUGUUAGGAGUCCCAUAAGACCAACAAGCUUCUUAGCCAUGUAUGCAGAAGACCAAGAUAAGGUCCAGGCAGGAUUCCUGGUUAUCAAAUAACAAGGUGAACCCAAAGAAAAACAUAUAUAGAUCCUCCUGGAAAUUGGAAGCAAACAAGA